GUUAAGAUCCAGAAAGAUACUGAAGUGAGACUAAAGAUAAUCGGACAACGCGACUCAGAGUUGGUCGUGCCCUCUAUCACGAACUCAACACAUGUAGAGUUCUAUUUGAUGAAUUGUGGCUGAGUGUGGAAAGCUUCCACUAGGUCGUAAAGUGGUCGGAGCUUCAUUUGCAAAUUCAAAGUAUUGGCUAAGCGAUAAAACAAGGAUUCCUCAAGGCUUAAGCCUCGGCUGAAAAAUGUAAUUGGAGAUGCUCAAUGCAGAAGGUUACCUCAGCCCCAGUUUUGACAUCACUAAUUUUCAUAAAGAGUUCAUUAUAGAAAUUGAUGCCUCUAGGAACAUGCUGGGAGCAAUAUUGAUCA